GUCGAACGGAGCUUAAGGGAGCUUGCUUUUUUAAGCUUAGUGGCGGACGGGUGAGUAACACGUGAGCAACCUGCCUUUCAGAGGGGGAUAACGUUUGGAAACGAACGCUAAUACCGCAUAACAUUGCUUUAAGGCAUCUUAAGGCAAUCAAAGGAGCAAUCCGCUGAAAGAUGGGCUCGCGUCCGAUUAGAUAGUUGGCGAGGGUAACGGCCCACCAAGUCGACGAUCGGUAGCCGGACUGAGAGGUUGAACGGCCACAUUGGGACUGAGACACGGCCCAGACUCCUACGGGAGGCAGCAGUGGGGAAUAUUGCACAAUGGGGGAAACCCUGAUGCAGCGACGCCGCGUGAGGGAAGAAGGUUUUCGGAUUGUAAACCUCUGUCUUUGGUGACGAAAGAUGACGGUAGCCAAAGAGGAAGCUACGGCUAACUACGUGCCAGCAGCCGCGGUAAUACGUAGGUGGCAAGCGUUGUCCGGAAUUACUGGGUGUAAAGGGAGCGUAGGCGGGAAGACAAGUUGAAUGUUUAAACUAUCGGCUCGACCGAUAAUCGCGUUCGAAACUGUUUUUCUUGAGUGAAGUAGAGGCAGGCGGAAUUCCUAGUGUAGCGGUGAAAUGCGUAGAUAUUAGGAGGAACACCAGUGGCGAAGGCGGCCUGCUGGGCUUUAACUGACGCUGAGGCUCGAAAGUGUGGGGAGCAAACAGGAUUAGAUACCCUGGUAGUCCACACCGUAAACGAUGAUUACUAGGUGUGGGGGGUCUGACCCCUUCCGUGCCGGAGUUACACAAUAAGUAAUCCACCUGGGGAGU
rnacentral:rRNA from 1 species